rnacentral:rRNA from 1 species
UAGGGAAUCUUCGGCAAUGGACGAAAGUCUGACCGAGCAACGCCGCGUGAGUGAAGAAGGUUUUCGGAUCGUAAAACUCUGUUGUUAGAGAAGAACAAGGACGUUAGUAACUGAACGUCCCCUGACGGUAUCUAACCAGAAAGCCACGGCUAACUACGUGCCAGCAGCCGCGGUAAUACGUAGGUGGCAAGCGUUGUCCGGAUUUAUUGGGCGUAAAGCGAGCGCAGGCGGUUUCUUAAGUCUGAUGUGAAAGCCCCCGGCUCAACCGGGGAGGGUCAUUGGAAAGUGGGAGAAUUGAGUGAAGAAGAGGAGAGUGGAAUUACAUGUGGAGCGGUGAAAUGCGUAGAUAUAUGGAGGAACACCAGUGGCGAAGGCGGCUCUCUGGUCUGUAACUGACGCUGAGGCUCGAAAGCGUGGGGAGCAAACAGG